UCAAGCGAAUAAGGGUCUACGGUGGAUGCCUUGGAGCUAUCUGACGAAGAAGGGCGUGGUAAGCUGCGAAAAGCCUGGGGGAGUGGCAAACACACAAUGAUCCCGGGAUGUCCGAAUGGGGUAACCCGGCUGAUUUUAAUAUCAGUCACAGUCUGGUGAAUAAAAUAGUCAGAUUUGAGUUAGACGCAGGGAACUGAACCAUCUAAGUACCUGCAGGAAUAGAAAUCAAAAUGAAGAAUGCUUGCAUUCUUUUUCGAGAUUCCCUUAGUAGCGGCGAGCGAAGAGGGAAGAGCCUAAACCUAAUGUGUGUAAGAUCUAUAUCGUUGCAUAUUAGGGGUUGCAAGUUGGCGUUGGGCGGAGUAUAGAAUCCGCCGCCAUGUAAAAAAUCCAUUAUAUAUAAGAAUGUUUCUGGGAAGAGCAGCCAAAGAGGGUGAAAGCCCCGUAUUUUAAAUAUAUUGGACAUGGUGAAUGCAUAACUUAAGUACGUCGGGACACGAGAAAUCUUGACGGAAUCUGGGAGGACCACCUUCCAAGGCUAAAUACGAGAUAGCUACCGAUAGCGAAUAGUACCGUGAGGGAAAGGUGAAAAGAACCCCGGAAGGGGAGUGAAAUAGAACCUGAAACCGUAGACCUACAAGCGGUCAAAGCCUUAAUUUAUUAGGGUGAUGGCGUGCCUUUUGUAGAAUGAACCUGCGAGUUACUGUGUGUAGCGAGGUUAAGGAAUAGAAGUUCCGGAGCCGUAGGGAAACCGAGUCUUAAUAGGGCGAUUUAGUUGCAUGCAGUAGACCCGAAGCCAAGUGAUCUAUCCAUGGUCAGGUUGAAGCUUGAGUAAAAUCAAGUGGAGGACCGAACACUAGUCUGUUGAAAAAGGCAGUGAUGAACUGUGGAUCGGAGUGAAAGGCUAAUCAAACUUGGAGAUAGCUGGUACUCCCCGAAAUAGCUUUAGGGCUAGCCUCAUAUUAACUGUUACGGAGGUAGAGCACUGAAUGGGCUAGGGCCCUUCACCGGGUACCAAACUCAAUCAAACUCCGAAUGCCGUAACAUAAUGUAUGGGAGUCAGUCUAUGGGUGAUAAGGUCCGUAGACGAAAGGGAAAGAGCCCAGACCGUCAGCUAAGGUCUCAGAACUAUGCUAAGUGGAAAAGGAAGUGUAAUUGCAAAGACAGCCAGGAGGUUGGCUUAGAAGCAGCCAUACCUUUAAAGAGUGCGUAAUAGCUCACUGGUCGAGUAGUUAUGCACUGAUAAUGUAACGGGGCUAAGCAUAGUACCGAAGCUACGGCAUUGUAUGUUUACAUACAGUGGGUAGGGGAGCGUUCCAUGUACCGACGAAGGUGGACUGUAAGGUUAGCUGGAGGGGAUGGAAGUGAGAAUGCAGGUAUGAGUAACGAAAAGACAGGUGAGAUCCCUGUCCGCCGAAAGCCGAAGGUUUCCAGGGUUAAGGUAAUCUUCCCAAGGGUUAGUCGGCUCCUAAGGCGAGGCCGAAAGGCGUAGUCGAUGGGAAACUGGUUAAUAUUCCAGUACCUCUGUUAAUUUCGAAGGAAUGACGCAUAAGGCGAAGCACAGCCGGGCGACGGUAGUCCCGGUUUAAGCAAUAAGCUGUUGAGAGAUGUAGGCAAAUCCGCAUCUUGAGGUGAGUUGUUAAGACGAGCGAACCCACGGGGGAGUGAAGUGUGCGUUAGUCAUAGUGCCAAGAAAUAAUUUCUAAGAUUAGAUUAACAGGGACCGUACCGCAAACCGACACAGGUAGGCGAGCUGAGAAUGCUAAGGCGCUCGGGAGAAUUCACGUUAAGGAACUCGGCAAAAUGCAUGCGUAACUUCGGGAGAAGCAUGGCCCCCUUUGGAUGUUAAAAUUUGUAGGGGGUUGCAGAGAAAUGGCCCAAUCGACUGUUUACCAAAAACACAGGUCUGUGCGAAUCUGCAAAGAGACGUAUACGGACUGACACCUGCCCGGUGCUGGAAGGUUAAGAGGAGUUGUGAGAGCAGCGAAUUGAAGCCCCAGUAAACGGCGGCCGUAACUAUAACGGUCCUAAGGUAGCGAAAUUCCUUGUCGGGUAAGUUCCGACCCGCACGAAU
rnacentral:rRNA from 1 species